rnacentral:snoRNA from 1 species
CUGCAGCCAAUUAAGUCGACUGAGUUCCUUUCCUCAUGGCAGCCCAGUGUGCAAUGGCUGCAAAUAGCAGCUUCCCUGGUAGUGAUGCAGCCUGUUUGUUGUAUGGGUUGCUCUAAGGGACCUUGGAGACAGAC